rnacentral:rRNA from 1 species
AACGUAGGAGACAAACGUUAUCCGGAGUUACUGGGCGUAAAGGGCGUGUAGGUGGUUUCGUAAGUCUGGCGUGAAAUUUUUCGGCUUAACCGGGAAAGGUCGUCGGAUACUGCGGAGCUAGAGGACGGUAGAGGCGUGUGGAAUUCCUGGUGUAGCGGUGAAAUGCGCAGAUAUCAGGAGGAACACCGGUGGCGAAGGCGGGUCUCUGGGCCGUUACUGACGCUGAGGAGCGAAAGCGUGGGGAGCGAACAGG